AUCCAGCUGACGAGACCCAAAUAGGAGGAAAUGCGCAUCCUAGAU
rnacentral:hammerhead_ribozyme from 1 species